CGGGGCUUAAUGUCUUGUAAUUGGAAUGAUGGGAAUUUAAACCUCUUCCAGAGUAUCAAUUGGAGGGCAAGUCUGGUGCCAGCAGCCGCGGUAAUUCCAGCUCCAAUAGCGUAUAUUAAAAUUGUUGCAGUUAAAAAGCUCGUAGUUGAAUUUCUGCUACAUUGCCUAUUCUCCUUUACGAGUUUGGGUCUUUUGUGGCUUAUCUGGGUUCGCUUGCGUUCCCGGUGUUUUACUUUGAGAAAAUUAGAGUGCUCAAAGCAGGCUUUUGCCUUGAAUAGUUUAGCAUGGAAUAAUAAAGUAGGACUUUGGUUCUAUUUUGUUGGUUUUAGGUACCAAAGUAAUGGUUAAUAGGAACAGUUGGGGGCAUUCGUAUUUAACUGUCAGAGGUGAAAUUCUUAGAUUUGUUAAAGACGAACUACUGCGAAAGCAUUUGCCAAGGAUGUUUUCAUUAAUCAAGAAC
rnacentral:rRNA from 2 species